CAGUCGCCACGGUAAUACGUAGGUGGCAAGCGUUGUCCGGAAUUAUUGGGCGUAAAGGGCUCGCAGGCGGUUUCUUAGGUCUGAUGUGAAAGCCCCCGGCUCAACCGGGGAGGGUCAUUGGAAACUGGGAAACUUGAGUGCAGAAGAGGAGAGUGGAAUUCCACGUGUAGCGGUGAAAUGCGUAGAGAUGUGGAGGAACACCAGUGGCGAAGGCGACUCUCUGGUCUGUAACUGACGCUGAGGAGCGGAAGCGUGGGGAGCGAACAGGAUUAGAGACCCCUGUAGUCCCUGUCUCUUAUAC
rnacentral:rRNA from 1 species